UACGAAGGGGGCUAGCGUUGCUCGGAAUCACUGGGCGUAAAGCGCACGUAGGCGGAUUGCUAAGUCAGGGGUGAAAUCCUGGAGCUCAACUCCAGAACUGCCUUUGAUACUGGUGAUCUUGAAUCCGGGAGAGGUGAGUGGAAUUCCGAGUGUAGAGGUGAAAUUCGUAGAUAUUCGGAAGAACACCAGUGGCGAAGGCGGCUCACUGGUCCGGUACUGACGCUGAGGUGCGAAAGCGUGGGGAGCGAACAGG
rnacentral:rRNA from 1 species